CAUUAUUGAAUAAACUUGGUAGGUUGUCGCUGGCUUUUCGAAGCAUGUGCACGCCCGCCAUCUUUAUCCAUCCACCUGUGCACCUUUUGUAGUCUUGGAGAAUGAGAGCGGCUUACCUCUCAAUGGGCUUCUAGUCCUUUGGAUAUGAAGAAUGCUGUGCGAAAGCCAAUGGCUAUCUUCAAUAAGCUUGUAAUCCUUCUCUAAGGUCUAUGUCUUUUUAUACACUACAUGUAUGUCGCAGAAUGUAUUACAUGGGCCUUUGUGCCUAUACAACUCUAUACAACUUUCAGCAACGGAUCUCUUGGCUCUCGCAUCGAUGAAGAACGCAGCGAAAUGCGAUAAGUAAUGUGAAUUGCAGAAUUCAGUGAAUCAUCGAAUCUUUGAACGCACCUUGCGCUCCUUGGUAUUCCGAGGAGCAUGCCUGUUUGAGUGUCACUAAAUUCUCAACUGCUCUAGCUUUUGUGGCUGGUUGCAGCUUGGAUGUUGGGGGUUUYUGCAGGCCUGUUUUCUAUGGGUCAGCUCCCCUGAAAUGCAUUAGCAGAACCGUUUGCGGUCUGUCGCCGGUGUGAUAAUUAUCUACACCAAUGACAAAGGCUGCUCUCUGUGUGUUCAGCUUCUAAUCGUCCCCCUGUGGACAACUUAUUGAACAUUUGACCU
rnacentral:sRNA from 1 species